UGGGGAAUUUUGGACAAUGGGGGCAACCCUGAUCCAGCCAUCCCGCGUGUGCGAUGAAGGCCUUCGGGUUGUAAAGCACUUUUGGCAGGGAAGAAACAGCCUGGGCUAAUAUCCCGGGCGACUGACGGUACCUGCAGAAUAAGCACCGGCUAACUACGUGCCAGCAGCCGCGGUAAUACGUAGGGUGCAAGCGUUAAUCGGAAUUACUGGGCGUAAAGCGUGCGCAGGCGGUUCGGAAAGAAAGGUGUGAAAUCCCAGGGCUUAACCUUGGAACUGCACUUUUAACUACCGGGCUAGAGUACGUCAGGGGGGGAUGGAAUUCCGCGUGUAGCAGUGAAAUGCGUAGAUAUGCGGAGGAACACCGAUGGCGAAGGCAGUCCCCUGGGCCUGUACUGACGCUCAUGCACGAAAGCGUGGGGAGCAAACA
rnacentral:rRNA from 1 species